rnacentral:rRNA from 1 species
UGGGGAAUCUUGCGCAAUGGGCGAAAGCCUGACGCAGCGACGCCGCGUGAGUGAUGAAGGCCUUCGGGUUGUAAAGCUCUGUGGGGAGAGAAGAAUAAGUCGUAGUGAAUAUCUACGAUGAUGACGGUAUCUCCUUAGCAAGCACCGGCUAACUCUGUGCCAGCAGCCGCGGUAAGACAGAGGGUGCAAACGUUGUUCGGAAUUACUGGGCGUAAAGCGUGUGUAGGCGGUGAGGUAAGUCAGGUGUGAAAUCCCACGGCUCAACCAUGGAAGUGCACUUGAUACUGCUUCGCUUGAGUGCUGGAGAGGUUGGUGGAAUUCUUGGUGUAGAGGUGAAAUGCGUAGAUAUCAAGAGGAAAACAGGUGGCGAAGGCGGCCAACUGGACAGAUACUGACGCGGAGACACGAAAGCGCGGGGAGCAAACA